UAGGGGGUGCUUCCAUCUGGAAGAAUCUGGAGACAGGUGCUGCAUGGCUGUCGUCAGCUCGUGUCGUGAGAUGUUGGGUUAAGUCCCGCAACGAGCGCAACCCUUGCCUUUAGUUGCCAGCAGUUCGGCUGGGCACUCUAAAGGGACUGCCGGUGUUAAACCGGAGGAAGGUGGGGAUGACGUCAAGUCCUCAUGGCCUUUAUGACCAGGGCUACACACGUACUACAAUGGCCGAUACAAAGGGCAGCGACACUGCGAGGUGAAGCCAAUCCCGUAAAAUCGGUCUCAGUCCGGAUUGGAGUCUGCAACUCGACUCCAUGAAGUUGGAAUCGCUAGUAAUCGUGGAUCAGCAUGCCACGGUGAAUACGUUCCCGGGCCUU
rnacentral:rRNA from 1 species